CCAAGAAGGUACUAGAAUAACAGCAACAGGAAUCACAACCAAUGAGCUAUGCACCAGGCUCCAACACUUCUGCAACAACUGGUCUUAUAAGUAUCAUCACAGACAGAGCAGGUUGCGGUGUGCCCGGACCCCAGUUCUGAGACCAGCUCUUCUGAGGAGUCCUGCCUGAACUGCAACAGACCUAAGACCUGCAACAGCGAUGAGAACUGCCCCCAAAACACCAAAUGCUGCCCCAAUGGCUCCUUCAGCCGCUCCUGCAUGGCCCCUGUCAUGGUCCCUGCCCCAAAGGCUGGACGCUGCCCCCGGGUGCAGAACUCAAUGACCGCAACACCAUGCCUGGAGAGCAACCAGUGUUCCAGGGAUGAUCACUGUGAGAACAACAAGAAGUGCUGCUUCAGUGGGUGCGCCAUGAGGUGUAUGGACCCCGCUGCAGAAGAUUCCCUUCAUUGAGGGGCUCCUCCCAGAAGCCCCCAUUGCCAGGAGUGGCCCACCUCCUGAGUCUGCUGAGCAACAACCUUCACUCUCAGUUUCAGCGAGUGCAAGAUACCUCUACCUGCUGCUAAUAAAA